CACGUAGGGCGCAAGCGUUGUCCGGAAUUAUUGGGCGUAAAGAGCUCGUAGGCGGUCUGUUACGUCUGCUGUGAAAACCCUGGGCUUAACCCUGGGCUUGCAGUGGAUACGGGCAGACUAGAGGCAGGUAGGGGAGAAUGGAAUUCCCGGUGUAGCGGUGAAAUGCGCAGAUAUCGGGAGGAACACCGGUGGCGAAGGCGGUUCUCUGGGCCUGUUCUGACGCUGAGGAGCGAAAGCGUGGGGAGCGAACAGG
rnacentral:rRNA from 1 species